AGAACUGUUACAUUUUACGACACGUAUAACAUCGAACAUUUGCCAACGUAGCGAUGCCAGCGUACAUAUAUAUGUAGUGGUGUACUGGUCAUCUUUUUUCCACACGUUUUUAGCUUUUUAGCUGUUUGUGAAUGGGCGCCUAAUCAGCCAAUCAGAAAUGGCCGGUAUACUAUGAAUCCUUUUCUUCAAUGUUUGAAGAGCUGGAUAUUGAUCGAAAGCUGGUGCCCCAAAUAUAUACUCGAAAUUUUCAAGGGCCUCUGCAAAUACGAAGUCCGCCCAUGUCGUCUGAAAAAAGGAUCCUCCUCCAUGCGAUAGUAGCAGAUAUCUGAAACGUAUAUGAAACCAACCGUUACGUUCAUUUGUGUUUUUCCCCCCAAACGAAGAGAAAAUAAGUUGUGAAAGAAGGAGUAGCCUCUCAUAGUUCCUACAAUUUCUUCAUUCUCUUUGCUUUCUUCAAUAUUGUCUCAACAAGUUCCUGUGGUUCACGAUACUUAAAAUAUAUACAAUGUUACCAGCGUGGAAAUUGUCUUGGAAACUUGGAAAAUCUUUCAAGAGGAACAACAUUGCUAACUGAGAUUCGAGAAAGGAAAGUACCAAGAAUGUCGAGAUAUAAACAACCAUUUGUGGAAAGGUCAGGAGAAGCAGAAUUAUCGAAUAAACUUUAUAUAACUCUUAGUGAUUAAGUAAGAGAAGAGUGGGUGUGUCCUACCCGGUGGAAGGAUAUUGACCGUUCGAAGGAUGUCUUCGGAUACUCGCAGCGUAUCCUCCAUGGUUUCAAGUACCUUCCAUAAAUCUCAUAGAUUUCCUAGAAAAGGUCCUUCAAACCAAACAAACGUCUGUUUCCGAAGAAUUUCCAAAGACUAUUGUCUGCCACGGC